GUGAGGGAAGGAGGCAAACAGGACUGCCGGCCGUCCCUGGAGCCCAGCUUCUAAAGAUGCUUAGUAGAGAGGUUGCUUGAGUGGGGGUCACUUUGUCCGGAGACAGCAAACUGCUCCCCACGCCACUCCUAAUCCUAAAGAGAAAGAAGGAAAACCUUGCCUGCCCCCCCGCCCCCCAGUCUCUGGCCAUUCCCAGCACAGGAGCUGCCGCCUGAGCACAGCUAGGGCCAGUAGCUGGUGGCUCGGAGAAGGACAGGCAGGGAAAAGCUGCAGCCCUUGGCCACACUGGGGCCCAGAGCAGCCAAGAGCGAGGCAGAAGUGGGGAGAGCAGAGGCCGACCCUGGCCAGGACCAGACGGUGAGUGGCUGUGCUGGGGGGGGGGGGGCGGCUUUGGGAAAGAUCCUUGUCAAUAAGAAGAGAGAGGAAAAAAAUCUAGACAGAGGGAAGGAAAAGCAAGAGAGGAGGAAAAAAGAAAAAGAAAAACAAUAAAUGGGAAAAGGGGAAAAGUUUGUUUUUAAUAGAUAAGCUAAGCUGAAACUUAGGCAUUUUGUAUUUGAAUAGAUGUGGAUAUCCUGUAUGUAGAUUUCAAAUCGAUAUUUACUUAUGGGGACCCAGUGUGCAAAUGUGCUGUACUCUAGGUUGUGUAUAGAAUAUGUAAUAAAUAAAUACACCCUACUAUAAUAGCGGAUGUGCUUGGGUGUUCACACAGAAGACCCAAUGGUGCAUAUGUGGAGGCAUGUAUGACCCCUGUGAAUGAUGUGAGUUUACGAUUCUGUUCGUAGAAGAUCUGUUACCCAAAAGCUUGUGCAUACAUUUUUAUAACUAUCACACACCUACGGAAAGGGCAAAAACUUGAGUAUUUGUGUACUUGAAUUUUGGCUAUAAAACAUCAGUUGAUCAGGAAGCCUUGCUUGAAAAUCUCCUGUUGACUUGAUAUUCAGGCAAAAUAUAUACCGUAUCCUCAAACAAACGCAUGUGGCUUACAUCUGAAUCCUUUGAUAACUUUCUUCCAAAAUAUUUGUGUGGAAGGUAAAGGAAAUGCCUCAGACUGGCCCAGGGGAGGUCAUGAAAUUUUGUGACUUUUUUUUUUUUUUUUUUUUUUUGGUCCGACCAUGACCUCCUUUACUGUGUAUCUCACCCCAAACUGCAGGAACGAUGUACAUCGUGUGAUGUUUCUUUCAUGGUAGUGAUGGACACAACGAUGUAGGCACCAUUACCUGCACACAAGCGUGUCCCUCACAAGUGUGAAUCUGACCAGUGGGCAGAGAUGAGCUGAACGUGAAAGCCCUCAGCACUGUUCCUGGGAGGGGGUGGCCAAGAGACGCCGGGAUGGAAGACAGUCAGGCUCCAGGCUCCGGGUGGCUGGGCAGGUUUGUGAGAGGCCCAGAGAGAAGUAAGGAGCCCCCGUGGAGGAGGAUGGGGACCCUAGGCCCAGCCCAGACCUGGACAAGGCCUCACGGCUACACCUGCCUGGUCACCACCUCUCAGCCUCCGUCUCUGCAGCUGGAGGUCUCCACAGAUAAGAUUUCUCAACUUCAAACUGUCAUCAAGGCGCAUCUCCACUCCCCGUCGUCGGGCUAGUGCCUAUAUUCCAGGGUCACCCGGGGUAGUUCCGAGAGGCCAAAUCUUCAAGCCCUACACCACCCCCCUGCUUUGAGACUGGAGUAGAGACCGGAGAGUGGAGAGGGAGAAAGUGACUGCUGGAGACAUAGGUGGAAAAGCAGAGUGUGAGAAAAUACCAGGAAGACCAGGGAUGACAGGCAGGCAAAAGCGGGUUGGCCUGGACAGUCGCUGCGAAGUCGCCCUGCCGGAAACGUCCGGGGUAGGGGUGGGGGGACCUGGUUCCGCAGAGGCUGAGCCGUCCCAGGUAAGAGGAUCCGCUCCGAAUUCACAAAUGAAACCUGGAGGCUCAGCUUGGGACGCAGAGAGCAAGGCUGCUUCUUGCUUCCUGACCUUCAGCUUGGGCCCUUCGCUCUCCGCCCCCACCGAUCUCCCCUGCGGCCACCUCUACCCCUCCAGACGCCCGCGUCGUCGCA